rnacentral:rRNA from 1 species
UGCAGUCGAACGAACUUCCGUUAAUUGAUUAGGACGUGCUUGCACUGAAUGAGAUUUUAACAUGAAGUGAGUGGCGGACGGGUGAGUAACACGUGGGUAACCUGCCCAGAAGCAGGGGAUAACACCUGGAAACAGAUGCUAAUACCGUAUAACAGAGAAAACCGCCUGGUUUUCUUUUAAAAGAUGGCUCUGCUAUCACUUCUGGAUGGACCCGCGGCGCAUUAGCUAGUUGGUGAGGUAACGGCUCACCAAGGCGAUGAUGCGUAGCCGACCUGAGAGGGUAAUCGGCCACAUUGGGACUGAGACACGGCCCAGACUCCUACGGGAGGCAGCAGUAGGGAAUCUUCCACAAUGGACGCAAGUCUGAUGGAGCAACGCCGCGUGAGUGAAGAAGGGUUUCGGCUCGUAAAGCUCUGUUGUUAAAGAAGAACGUGGGUGAGAGUAACUGUUCACCCAGUGACGGUAUUUAACCAGAAAGCCACGGCUAACUACGUGCCAGCAGCCGCGGUAAUACGUAGGUGGCAAGCGUUAUCCGGAUUUAUUGGGCGUAAAGCGAGCGCAGGCGGUCUUUUAAGUCUAAUGUGAAAGCCUUCGGCUCAACCGAAGAAGUGCAUUGGAAACUGGGAGACUUGAGUGCAGAAGAGGACAGUGGAACUCCAUGUGUAGCGGUGAAAUGCGUAGAUAUAUGGAAGAACACCAGU